UACGAAGGGGGCUAGCGUUGUUCGGAAUUACUGGGCGUAAAGCGCGCGCAGGCGGCUCUUCAAGUCAGGGGUGAAAGCCCAGAGCUCAACUCUGGAACUGCCUUUGAGACUGAAGAGCUUGAGUACGGGAGAGGUGAGUGGAAUUCUCAGUGUAGAGGUGAAAUUCGUAGAUAUUGGGAAGAACACCGGUGGCGAAGGCGGCUCACUGGCCCGUUACUGACGCUCAGGCGCGACAGCGUGGGGAUCAAACAGG
rnacentral:rRNA from 1 species